GGCGGGACGACGGUUAGAAGAUGGUCCGAUGGCUCAAUUCAGACGCCGACGACAGGAUAUCUUAUCCUAAAGAUAAAAGAAGCUGGGAUAUAAUUAUAGAGCAAUCACAGAGAUUAAGAGAGGCACAGACCAGUAAUAUGUGACUGCUGACAUGGAGGUCUCCUUGAUCCAGUUCCUUGUCCCGUAACACAGUCCACCUGUAGAAGGAAAGAAGUUUGGCUGCUCGUUUAAUGGUGUCCACAUUGAGUGCUGUGCUUCAUAGUUUGGAGUGAUUUGGUUUAUGGUUUAAGUGUGGUGUGACAAUUAAGGGUUACGGUAGACCA